rnacentral:rRNA from 1 species
UACGAAGGUGGCAAGCGUUGUUCGGAUUUACUGGGCGUACAGGGAGCGUAGGCGGUUGGAUAAGCCCUCCGUGAAAUCUCCAGGCUUAACCUGGAAAGUGCAGAGGGGACUGUUCAGCUAGACGAUGGGAGAGGAGCGCGGAAUUCCCGGUGUAGAGGUGAAAUGCGUAGAUAUCUGGAGGAACACCGGUGGCGAAGGCGGCAUCCUGGACCAAUAUUGACGCUGAGGAGCGAAAGCCAGGGGAGCAAACGGG